AGGUGCAUGUUCUAGUGGUUAUGAAGUCUGUCUUACACACAGAAGAUCCCCGGUUCGAUCCCGGGUGUGCCUA